UUCAGAUAGCCUAGUGGUAUAAGGCAGUGUCCCUAGAACACCAAGCUCCCUGGUUUGAAUCCAGGUCUGAUGAAA
rnacentral:tRNA from 1 species